AAUUCUUAAAAAAAACUUUUAUUUAA
rnacentral:sRNA from 1 species